GUUUGAUCCUGGCUCAGGACGAACGCUGGCGGCGUGCUUUACACAUGCAAGUCUAAGGAGAAUUUUUGCUUCGGCAAAAUAGUAAACUGGCGAACGGGUGAGUAACGCGUAGAUAAUCUACCUUUCAGUUUGGAAUAACCCCGCGAAAGUGGGGCUAAUACCGAAUAAUAUUCUUGUUCAUUAGAAUAAAAAUUAAAGGGGGCUUCGGCUCUUGCUGAUAGAUGAGUCUGCGUCUGAUUAGCUAGUUGGUAGGGUAAAAGCCUACCAAGGCAACGAUCAGUAGCUGGUUCGAGAGGAUGAUCAGCCACAUUGGAACUGAGACACGGUCCAGACUCCUACGGGAGGCAGCAGUGGGGAAUUUUGCGCAAUGGGCGAAAGCCUGACGCAGCAACGCCGCGUGAUUGAAGAAGCUCUGAGGAGUGUAAAAAUCUGUCAUAGGGGAAGAAAGCUAUUUCAUUAACAAUGGAGUAGUGUGACGGUACCUUAUAAGAAAGCCCCGGCUAACUUCGUGCCAGCAGCCGCGGUAAUACGAGGGGGGCAAGCGUUGUCCGGAUUUAUUGGGCGUAAAGAGUUCGUAGGCGGGCUAAUCAGUCAAGAUUGAAAUCCCACGACUUAAUCGUGGUUCCGGUUUUGAUACUGUUAGUCUUGAAUGGGAUAGAGGUAAGCGGAAUUCCUGGUGUAGCGGUGAAAUGCGUAGAUAUCAGGAGGAACACCGAUGGCGAAGGCAGCUUACUAGGUCCAUAUUGACGCUGAGGAACGAAAGCGUGGGUAGCAAACAGGAUUAGAGACCCUGGUAGUCCACGCCGUAAACGAUGAGUACUU
rnacentral:rRNA from 1 species